rnacentral:rRNA from 1 species
UAGGAAUCUGCCUUAAAGAGGGAGACAACCCGAGGAAACUCGGGCUAAUACCGCAUAAUCACGUGAGAGAAAAGUUGGGUUUACCUGACGCUUUAAGAGGAGCCUGCGUCCGAUUAGCUAGUUGGUUAGGUAAAGGCUGACCAAGGCGAUGAUCGGUAGCUGGUCUGAGAGGAUGACCAGCCACACUGGGACUGAGACACGGCCCAGACUCCUACGGGAGGCAG